GUGCUCGCUUCAGCAGCACAUAUACUAAAAUUGGAAUGAUACAGAGAAGUUAGCAUGGCCCCUGCAUAAGGAUGACAUGCAUAUUCGUGAAACAUUCCACAAUUAA